rnacentral:rRNA from 1 species
AUGGGAGGAAGGUUGAUGCUGGUGGAUAUGGCUGGCUCUGGGAACAAUGAAGCUGCAGGUCAAACUGGAUUCGACGAGCAGAAGUGGAAGCGGAAGCGGAAGCUGAUUGCCGCCGAGUGCAGGUGGCUGACCUGGUGGUGCUCACCAACGCCUACAACUACUACUGGCUCCCAAGAGCGUAGCCACAUAUACGCUCCUACUGCCAACCCUACUGGUUGCCUCCUCUUCGGCCACUACUUCGACUUCCCCCGCAUCGUGAUGAUGGCUCCACGGCGGUGGUUGGCGCCUCUUCCUCGGUUCUGGUUAGUUCCUGGUCUCCGCCCUCUCUCCCUUGUGCCUUUAGAUUGUCUAGCCAUCGAGCUAUGGCUGAUUGUCUGGUGCUGA